UCUCCUGGAAACUUUAGACACCAUCAUGCCUCGGACACAGCCCGCAGACAAACCCCUCUGCCUGCCCCUGCAGGACGUCUACAAGAUAGGAGGUGAUUAUAUUGAGCCACCCAGGACAAAUUAGUGCAGGCUUUUCCCCAGUCAUUGACUGCCACACGAUCGCCUUCCUUUGACUUUUCAGUUCCAAGAAUCUCCAUACAGCCGCAUCCUUUGACUGAGCCUGCAUGAGAUCGUGUGGAAACAGUCGGUCUGUAACUGUUCCCCUCACCAUGACAGCUCAUCCUGCUCUGAUGGCCUUAGUGUGACCGUGGAGAUCCACGUUACACAGUCAUUCUGUUGUGUCUGAACAGUAUUGAGUGUUGCUUUAACC
ensembl:lncRNA